rnacentral:misc_RNA from 1 species
UUAAAGUCAUUGACUUUGUUCGGACAUAUGUUUCAAUUAAGAGUUUGUUUGGCUACGGGCAGACUGAUUUGGGUGCUGCCCAAGCAAGGGAAAUUCACAAUGGGUUGGAAGGGGUGGCAGGGGGCCGCUUUCGCGUUAUAUCUUUCGAUGUACCCCCUUCCCUACAUUUUUUAAUGAUCCUUCCGCAGGUUCACCUACGGAAA